AACGAACGCUGGCGGCAUGCCUAACACAUGCAAGUCGAACGAGACCUUCGGGUCUAGUGGCGCACGGGUGCGUAACGCGUGGGAACCUGCCCUUAGGUUCGGAAUAACUCCCCGAAAGGGGUGCUAAUACCGGAUAAUGUCUUCGGACCAAAGAUUUAUCGCCUUUGGAUGGGCCCGCGUUGGAUUAGCUAGUUGGUAGGGUAAAAGCCUACCAAGGCGACGAUCCAUAGCUGGUCUGAGAGGAUGAUCAGCCACACUGGGACUGAGACACGGCCCAGACUCCUACGGGAGGUAGCAGUGGGGAAUAUUAGACAAUGGGCGAAAGCCUGAUCCAGCAAUGCCGCGUGAGUGAUGAAGGCCUUAGGGUUGUAAAGCUCUUUUACCCGAGAUGAUAAUGACAGUACCGGGAGAAUAAGCUCCGGCUAACUCCGUG
rnacentral:rRNA from 1 species